GUCAUGGACAGUGCACACAUAAUCUCUGCUGCUGGGAGACUGAGGCUAGUGACCUAUCUGAGGGCAGGAAUUGUGAGCUGCAGUAGGCUAAGCGGAUUGCCGUCUUCACUAAGUCUGGUAUUAAUAUGGUGAGCCCCCGUGAGGGGGUGGGUCAUCAGGCUGCCUCAGGAGGGGUGAACCAACCUAGGCUAGAAAUGGAGCAGGUGCCCAUCGGCAGGGACAUUGCCAUUCGGCCUAGGGGUGGCUGCUGCACUUCCAGCCUGAGCAAGACAAGGAGACCUGGUCUCC
rnacentral:SRP_RNA from 1 species